UAAAAACACCCAAUGACCCCACCUAGGGUCCUGAGAUGACUGUCUUCCUUUGAUUGUCCUCUAGAUGGACAGAAAGAUGCACCUUCAAGCCACACCUUGAUCCUAUCAGACAUCUGUUUGUCCCCUAAAACUAAGGAAUCUUUAUGUCCCCAGGCAGACCCCAGUAUGAUCACCCCACCUCAUGCCUGAGUGACUAACUGUUGUGAAAAAUGUAUCAAAUCCCCAGAACUGAUGUCAUCUAGGGGAACAGCCUUUCCUUUCAUGCUGUCCUCCCAGGGAACUGCUCCCCACCUUGCUGUUCUAGCUUGCUAUCCUCCUGGCCACUCUUAAUAAUUUUUAUAUUAUAUUAUAUUAUAUUAUAUUAUAUUAUAUUAUAUAUAUAUAUUAUAUAUAUAUUAUAUAUUAUAUAUAACUUUAUAAAUUAAAUUUUUUUUGUUUUUUUGUUUUUAAGCUAAGUUUUGGAGUCAUUGCAUGCUUGCAAAAGGCAUCCUUCCCGAACCCCAAAAAGGUUAUCCUUCCAUGCCCAUAACAUUUUUGGCGCCCAACGUUUUUGGCUCUCCUGAAAGCUACGCCUGUAACCUGGAUCGUCCAUGAGGACAGAGCGACAGGGCUUCUCAGACCGGAUGGGCACUGGUGGAAGAAGGGAAGACCUCCCACGACUCCGUGUCCAGCCUGUGGCUGACAGGGACACUGGAAACGGCAGUGUCCUGCCAACCAGAGACCCCAGAGACCCGAGAGACACGUUCCUGACCUCCAGUCUCCUGAGGACUCGGAAUAGGGCUGCCCUAGGGUUUGCACGCUCCCAGUUUCCAUCACCAUGGCUGCAGGGUUAUUCUCGAGGUUGAAGUUGCUUCUAGGGUAAAAGCACUCAUGGGAGUCACCCAGAUGCCAGAUGCUACCAUAACCAUCCCAGCCUGAUGCUCUGGACACUGCCUACAGUCAAUAUCUCUCUCUCCUAAGGGGUAGGCAGGGACAUUUCUACGCCCAUCCUCAGCUCUGAAGAAGUUACAGAAGACAGAUCGCCAUCCCGUUUUCCCUUACAUAUUAGGAAAGGGGGAAGAUGACAUGGGCACUGUACCCCAUAAACCCAGGUGAACUGUUAUCAGGGAACUCCCUUGUUUUUUUCCUGACUCUGAGACUAAAAACACCCAAUGACCCCACCUAGGGUCCUGAGAUGACUGUCUUCCUUUGAUUGUCCUCUAGAUGGACAGAAAGAUGCACCUUCAAGCCACACCUUGAUCCUAUCAGACAUCUGUUUGUCCCCUAAAACUAAGGAAUCUUUAUGUCCCCAGGCAGACCCCAGUAUGAUCACCCCACCUCAUGCCUGAGUGACUAACUGUUGUGAAAAAUGUAUCAAAUCCCCAGAACUGAUGUCAUCUAGGGGAACAGCCUUUCCUUUCAUGCUGUCCUCCCAGGGAACUGCUCCCCACCUUGCUGUUCUACCUUGCUAUCCUCCUGGCCACUCUCAACAUUACUUUAU
rnacentral:lncRNA from 1 species